rnacentral:tRNA from 1 species
CCAAAUCCCCCGCAGUGCAUGCCGAAGAGUGGAAGGUCUAUAUC